AUUAUGACUGGAGUUGUAGCUGGCCUUUAAAAACGGCAUGUGCACGCUCCUUUCACUAAUCCACACACACCUGUGCACCUUCGCGGGGGUCUCUUCGUUAACUCGAAGAGGCUCGCGUCCCUUUACACACCCUUUGUAUGUCUUAAGAAUGUCUACUCGAUGUAAUAAAACGCAUCUAAUACAACUUUCAACAACGGAUCUCUUGGCUCUCGCAUCGAUGAAGAACGCAGCGAAAUGCGAUAAGUAAUGUGAAUUGCAGAAUUCAGUGAAUCAUCGAAUCUUUGAACGCACCUUGCGCCCUUUGGUAUUCCGAAGGGCACACCUGUUUGAGUGUCGUGAAAUUCUCAACCCUCUUCACUUUUGUGAACGUAGUGGAUUGGACUUGGAGGCUUUGCCGGGCUUCACCGCUCGGCUCCUCUCAAAUGCAUUAGUGCGUCUUGUUGCGACGUGCGCCUCGGUGUGAUAAUUAUCUACGCUGUGGUGUGCUUGCUUCUGUGGAGACGCGCUUUCUAACCGUCCGAAAGGACAGCUUUCAUCGAACUUUGACCUCAAAUCAGGUGGGACUACCCGCUGAACUUAAGCAUAUCAAUAAGCGGGGGAA
rnacentral:rRNA from 1 species